CAGGGGAGGGGAGGAGGUGAGAGACAGGGGAGGGGAGGAGGUGAGAGACAGGGGAGGGGAGGAGGUGAGAGUCAGGGGAGGGGAGGAGGUGAGAGUCAGGGUGGGGAGAAAUGGAAAGGAAUGUGUAGACAACAGAACGACCUGGGAACCUUGCAAAUAUCCGUGGUGAAAAUACGCUACAAUAGGAUAAAUAUGUGAUUAACUCCACCCCCUUCAUCUGGGGUCUCAAAAACAAGCAAACAAGCAGAUAGAAAACAAAAGCAAAAAGAAAAGCUCUGAAGCAGAUAUCAAAAUGGUGGUAGGUUUAAUAUAUUUACAUCGAGCAAAUAUAAGUUUUUAACAAAAAAGAUAAUUUGAUGUAAUUUCCACAUUUCAUGUUCCAUAUUUCCAUAGCAAUUUAUAAGCUAGUUAAAGGAUUUAUUUAAAAAUAGUAAUUCUGAGAGCACUAUCAGGGUGUGGCCUGAGAGAGGGCCACAGAGUUUGAAUCUUCUCUAAAUUCUGACAAAAUAUCUCUGUGACUAUAAAUAUUCGGAGGCAACAUCAACACUUUAACUUUAGAGACCUUUGUCAAUGGGAGGCGGGGACCCAGUGGCGCCCUCUGCCCCUGCCUCAUCCCCCUCCCAGAUCCUGUGUCCCCACUUAGGCUGAGACCAUGAUGUGGUAACCUGGUCCAGGUGGCUUUGAGUCCCUCUCUGUGGAGGUGUGGGAGGUUUGGGCCAGGUCAUGGCAGUCGCCACCCCAUAGAUGUCACAGGUCCUGAAACGCUGCUCUUUGUGGCUUCUGGAUGGGGCCUGGGGACCUGGGAAAACCAGGGGCAGCGACACAGGACUGGGCGAGUUCUGAGAUGGACCGAAUACUCUGCCAAGCCUUGAGCCUUAACACAGUCCCAUGAGCAGGACCUGGAGACUCAGGGAUGGGAUGAUGCCCUUGGAAGCCGUGAAUAUGCACCUUGGAAUAUCUGGAAGAUCUGGGAAGAUCCCGGCUGAGCCCUCUGCCAGUGUCUGCUGGGGAAGGAGCCUGUUUGCAGUCUGAUGGCCCCAGCUGCUGCUGGUCUCGCUCUGUGGCCUUGGACAAAAUGACCAUCAUCUCCAGCCUCAGCAUCCUCUUCCUCUUCCGCGGAGGGGCCAAUGACCACACCCAAAGGUGAUUCUCUCUGCGUUGUUCUCUCUCAACUUUCUUAUUUAUUUAUUUUUUGUUUUUUUUGAGAUGGAGUCUCACUCUGUCACCCAGGCUGGAGUGCAGUAGCACCAUCU
rnacentral:lncRNA from 1 species